CAAUGAAUUUAAGAUUUAAAAAUAAGAAUUAUCUUUAUUAGAA
rnacentral:tRNA from 3 species